GAAGAUAACCGCAGACUUUCAUUUGAUAUCAACAAACAUUGCUUGCCACUCGCUGUUAAUAAAGUGAAUGUGACGAGUUACGCAUCAACUGUAAAUAGAUAUUUCCCAAAAAAAUAAAAUAGUAAUCACUUCAGCUGACUCACAAGUAACAGGUGAACAUAGACUCCAAAUAAGACAACAAUUUACCUCGAAGAUAUUGUUGAAAUCGAUUGUUAGUUAAUUUGAUGAGAGAAAGUGGUUCUAUCGAUGCCGAUGUACCAAAGUACGGAAAUGCUUACACAAAGAAACAUGGAGGAGCCCACUACUCCUAAGAAGAAAAAACCGCAGCUCAUUCUGAUUCCGUGGGAUCGAACAAAGUCAAUAAGUUUUGCCGCUAUCUCUGCUUGUUUCAUUAUUUGGGCUUGCAUUUUCUUUUCGUUGAAUAACAGAAAUAAUUAAUCACCAUUGUUAUUUACUCUUGAAAUUGUAUACGUAAAACAAAAAAGGAACUGAAUCUGUUUAUUGCUCUCAAUGUAUACUAUACAAUAAUAUAAAUUACAUUUACA